AAACCGCCUCAUAAGUUUUGCAACUGUAACAGUUUAGGCCCCCAAGGCAAAAAAAAUAAAAAUAAAUAACACGUGGCACCUCACUUAGGGUGCCACGUCAGCGUAGACCGAGUCAAAAUUGGUCUUGGGGGACAAAACUGCCACAAGUGCAAAACUUAGGGGGCGGUUU
rnacentral:pre_miRNA from 1 species